GAUCUUUUAGUAUAGUUGUGUACGCCUGACUUCCAAUCAGGUAGUUUUAAGGUUA
rnacentral:tRNA from 1 species